ACAUUUUGACAUUUUAAAAGCCCAUGUCUAGGUUUUCAAGUGAGUUCUUUCCCCACUGGAAUUAGAGAUUUAGCUAUCAACGCUGAAGGACAAUUAUAUGUAGAGAUGGUCAGUUGGAUCAGUUUACUCAAGUUCUGAGUGACUGUUUUCCCAUGUUUCAAAAAGAGAUAGUGAUGGCACUACAGCUGGCAGCUGUUUCUCGCACACAGUGUGGUUUAGCAGACUUGUUCUGGGAACAUCUACUACAUUUAUUGCACCAAGCUAACCAACAUAAGCUAUGCAAGCAAAUUAAACUUGCUACCCAAGGGAUGACAUAUAAGCUGGAGAGACUGCCUAAUUCAUACACCGUUUAAAACAGAACCACUGCUGAUAGCUGUAAUUAGUUCCAUAGCAACCCUUCCUCCUGCUGCUGCAAGACUGAGGCUGCUAGUCCAACUCCUAUAACAGGAGAUAUAAAACUAUAUUUGAAAGAAUACUACUGAACAGAACCACACAUUAUAUGGGAUGUGCACCAAGAUAUGACGUGGAAAGAACAUGAAGAGUCCUUUGUCAAUGCAGUUCAUAACUGUGCUAGCACAAUUCUAUGUACUCCUUCUUGGUUAAUAACAAGGAACUUGAUAAGAUAAGGAUAAUACUAUUACCCUAGGAGAAGGAUGUGUGUGAAAGACUGGAAUGUUGAUGACUCAGACAAUCCAGGUGCAAGGUGACCAUGUGCAAAGUAAUCACCCAGGUUACUGGGAUGCUGAGGGCAUGCACACCUGCCACCUCAGGCUUCAAGCUGGGUGUUGUUUCUUUGUCCUUACACAAAUGACUCAAAUGUGAUAACUCUCCUCUGGGGAAGCACUGAGACAAUUCACACAUAGCCUGAAGAUAUUAAUCUCUGACCAUAAUGAAGAUAUUAAUCUCUGACCAUAAUGCAUCCACCUGUGCUGAUGUAACACGCAUCUGUAACAUCUUGUCAAAGAUUCCUGAAAUGUCCCGUGAUCCAGUAUUACAUCAUCCAGUGUAGAACUCCCUUCCCCCGGGGUAGUAGCAGAGUCAUUCCCACUUAGCCUAAGCCCAGUAAAAGACCACAUUUGGACUUCACACAACACUAGAUAUUUUUCCCUCACCACGUGGGACUUUCCUUACCACCCAGCGCUUCCACCACCACCUUGAUGGAUCUGGACUGUGACCACCACCACGACAAGACUACAAUCAUCACUUUGACCAACAAACAUCAAAAUUUCAACAACCAAGUCUCAUCACUGGAUCCAAUGGGUGUCUUGCGGGUCCUCUCGGAGAGUCCGCAGCCCUACUCUGAUUGCCUGUACCAGCACCGCAGCCUCACUCAGCACUGACUGUCCAGCUGUUCCUUUCAGGGUUUCCAGGUGUGGGGGAGGAGAAUGACAUGGAAGGGCAGUCAUCUUGUCUCUGUCCUGUGUCCAUGUGUGUUUUCUUUUCCUGAGUGUGGGAGGCCAG